rnacentral:rRNA from 1 species
AACGAACGCUGGCGGCAGGCUUAACACAUGCAAGUCGAACGCCCCGCAAGGGGGAGUGGCAGACGGGUGAGUAACGCGUGGGAACAUACCCUUUCCUGCGGAAUAGCUCCGGGAAACUGGAAUUAAUACCGCAUACGCCCUACGGGGAAGAUUUAUCGGGAAGGAUUGGCCCGCGUUGGAUUAGCUAGUUGGUGGGGUAAAGGCCUACCAAGGCGACGAUCCAUAGCUGGUCUGAGAGGAUGAUCAGCCACAUUGGGACUGAGACACGGCCCAAACUCCUACGGAGGCAGCAGUGGGGAAUAUUGGACAAUGGGCGCAAGCCUGAUCCAGCCAUGCCGCGUGAGUGAUGAAGGCCUUA